rnacentral:rRNA from 1 species
AGCGUUGCUCGGAAUCACUGGGCGUAAAGCGCACGUAGGCGGAUUGUUAAGUCAGGGGUGAAAUCCUGGAGCUCAACUCCAGAACUGCCCUUGAUACUGGCGGUCUCGAGUCCGGGAGAGGUGAGUGGAACUGCGAGUGUAGAGGUGAAAUUCGUAGAUAUUCGCAAGAACACCAGUGGCGAAGGCGGCUCACUGGCCCGGUACUGACGCUGAGGUGCGAAAGCGUGGGGAGCAAACAGG